UUUCCGUAGGUGAACCUGCGGAAGGAUCAUUACUGAAUUUUAUGGCGUCUACUUUUAUGUCCUGACUUCCACUUUCUAACUCUGUGCACCUAUUUGGCUGAAGAAGGUACUAGUUAUUGCGUAACUUCGAUUGCGAAUUCCCUAUUUCUGCGGCUUACUUUAAACGCUAGUCAAAGUAUGUAACGAAAUAUCCAAAUACAAAAAAACUAUCAACAACGGAGCUCUUGCCUCUCGGAUCAAUGAAGAACGCAGGAGACCGGAAGAGCACACUUCUGAACC
rnacentral:misc_RNA from 1 species